GGCAUGGCCGUCCAAGAAGAAAAUGUAGCCAUUGUUGCCAUCUAUCGACCACAGGUUAAAGAUUGGCGAUCCGUUGGAUACCGACCAAGUUAUAGCCAAAAUUUGGUGCAAAAAUGAGCCUUAGUAAAUUUUCAUUUUUUUGAUUUUUUUUUAUUUUUUUACUAUUUUUCACUCUUUUUUUUAUUUAAAGCAUUACUUGAGUGAAAAGACACACAUUGCAACCAAUUGGCAUUAAAAUAAAUCAAUUUCAUUUUUUUUGCAAAAUUUCCCAAAAAAAACGUAAGGGGUAAGCCUUAUGAAAUUUUCGAGUGGAAAAUUUUUUUGAAAUUUUUUUCUGAUUUUUUAUUAUUUUUUUAAUUUAAAGCAUUAUUUGAGUGAAAAGAAACUUAUUGCAACAAAUUCACAAUAAAAUAUAUCACAUUUAAAAAUUUGCUGAAUUGCAGAAAAAUGAGGAAAAUUUUACAUUUUCUCAAACAGGGUAAGGAACUUGCUUUCUCGAAUAACUUCUGGCACAGACAUCUGAGGGCAUGGCCGUCCAAGAAGAAAAUGUAGCCAUUGGUGCCAUCUAUCGACCACAGGUUAAAGAUUGGCGAUCCGUUGGAUACCGACCGAGUUAUAGGCAAAACUUGGUGCAAAAAUGAGGAAAAUUUUACAUUUUCUCAAACAGGGUAAGGAAAUUGGUUCCUCGAAUAACUUCUGGCACAGACAUCUGAUGGCAUGGCCGUCCAAGAAGAAAAUGUAGCCAUUGGUGCCAUCUAUCGACCACAGGUUAAAGAUUGGCGAUCCGUUGGAUACCGACCAAGUUAUAGCCAAAAUUUGGUGCAAAAAUGAGCCUUAGUAAAUUUUCAUUUUUUUGAUUUUUUUUUAUUUUUUUUACUAUUUUUCACUCUUUUUUUUAUUUAAAGCAUUACUUGAGUGAAAAGACACACAUUGCAACCAAUUGGCAUUAAAAUAAAUCAAUUUCAUUUUUUUUACAAAAUUUCCCAAAAAAAACGUAAGGGGUAAGCCUUAUGAAAUUUUCGAGUGGAAAAUUUUUUUGAAAUUUUUUUCUGAUUUUUUAUUAUUUUUUUAAUUUAAAGCAUUAUUUGAGUGAAAAGAAACUUAUUGCAACAAAUUCACAAUAAAAUAUAUCACAUUUAAAAAUUUGCUGAAUUGCAGAAAAAUGAGGAAAAUUUUACAUUUUCUCAAACAGGGUAAGGAACUUGCUUUCUCGAAUAACUUCUGGCACAGACAUCUGAGGGCAUGGCCGUCCAAGAAGAAAAUGUAGCCAUUGGUGCCAUCUAUCGACCACAGGUUAAAGAUUGGCGAUCCGUUGGAUACCGACCGAGUUAUAGGCAAAACUUGGUGCAAAAAUGAGGAAAAUUUUACAUUUUCUCAAACAGGGUAAGGAAAUUGGUUCCUCGAAUAACUUCCGGCACGGACAUCUGAGGGCAUGGCCGUCUGAGAAGAAAAUGUAGCCAUUGGUGCCAUCUAUCGACCACAAGUUAAAGAUUGGCGAUCCGUUGGAUACCGACCGAGUUAUAGACAAAACUUGGGGCAAAAAUGAGCCUUAGUAAAUUUUCAUUUUUUUAGUUUUUUUGAGUUUUUUAUUAUUUUUCACUCUUUUUUUUAUUUAAAGCAUUACUUGAGUGAAAAGAAACACAUUGCAACCAAUUGGCAUUAAAAAAAAUUAAUUUCAUUUUUUUUUGCAAAAUUUCCCAAAAAAACGUAAGGGGUAAGCCUUAUGAAAUUUUCGAGUUGAAAAUUUUUGAAAUUUUUUUUCUGAUUUUUUAUUAUGUUUUUAGUUUAAAGCAAUAUUUGAGUGAAAAGAAACACAUUGCAACAAAUUUGCAUGAAAAUAUAUCACAUUUAUAAAGUUUGCUAAAUUGCUCAAAAAUGAGGAAAAUUUUACAUUUUCUCAAACAGGGUAAGGAACUUGCUUUCUCGAAUAACUUCUGGCACAGACAUCUGAGGGCAUGGCCGUCCAAGAAGAAAAUGUAGCCAUUGGUGCCAUCUAUCGACCACAGAUUAAAGAUUGGCGAUCCGUUGGAUACCGACCGAGUUAUAGCCAAAACUUGGUGCAAAAAUGAGGAAAAUUUUACAUUUUCUCAAACAGGGUAAGGAACUUGCUUUCUCGAAUAACUUCUGGCACAGACAUCUGAGGGCAUGGCCGUCCAAGAAGAAAAUGUAGCCAUUGGUGCCAUCUAUCGACCACAGAUUAAAGAUUGGCGAUCCGUUUGAUACCGACCGAGUUAUAGCCAAAACUUGGUGCAAAAAUGAGGAAAAUUUUACAUUUUCUCAAACAGGGUAAGGAAAUUGGUUCCUCGAAUAACUUCUGGCACAGACAUCUGAGGGCAUGGCCGUCCAAGAAGAAAAUGUAGCCAUUGGUGCCAUCUAUCGACCACAGGUUAAAGAUUGGCGAUCCGUUGGAUACCGACCGAGUUAUAGGCAAAACUUGGUGCAAAAAUGAGGAAAAUUUUACAUUUUCUCAAACAGGGUAAGGAAAUUGGUUCCUCGAAUAACUUCUGGCACAGACAUCUGAGGGCAUGGCCGUCCAAGAAGAAAAUGUAGCCAUUGGUGCCAUCUAUCGACCACAGGUUAAAGAUUGGCGAUCCGUUGGAUACCGACCGAGUUAUAGGCAAAACUUGGUGCAAAAAUGAGGAAAAUUUUACAUUUUCUCAAACAGGGUAAGGAAAUUGGUUCCUCGAAUAACUUCUGGCACAUACAUCUGAGGGCAUGGCCGUCCAAGAAGAAAAUGUAGCCAUUGGUGCCAUCUAUCGACCACAGAUUAAAGAUUGGCGAUCCGUUUGAUACCGACCGAGUUAUAGCCAAAACUUGGUGCAAAAAUGAGGAAAAUUUUACAUUUUCUCAAACAGGGUAAGGAACUUGCUUUCUCGAAUAACUUCUGGCACAGACAUCUGAGGGCAAGGCCGUCCAAGAAGAAAAUGUAGCCAUUGGUGCCAUCUAUCGACCACAGGUUAAAGAUUGGCGAUCCGUUGGAUACCGACCGAGUUAUAGGCAAAACUUGGUGCAAAAAUGAGGAAAAUUUUACAUUUUCUCAAACAGGGUAAGGAAAUUGGUUUCUCAAAUAACUUCUGGCACAUACAUCUGAGGGCAUGGCCGUCCAAGAAGAAAAUGUAGCCAUUGGUGCCAUCUAUCGACCACAGAUUAAAGAUUGGCGAUCCGUUGGAUACCGACCGAGUUAUAGCCAAAACUUGGUGCAAAAAUGAGGAAAAUUUUACAUUUUCUCAAACAGGGUAAGGAACUUGCUUUCUCGAAUAACUUCUGGCACAGACAUCUGAGGGCAUGGCCGUCCAAGAAGAAAAUGUAGCCAUUGGUGCCAUCUAUCGACCACAGGUUAAAGAUUGGCGAUCCGUUGGAUACCGACCGAGUUAUAGGCAAAACUUGGUGCAAAAAUGAGGAAAAUUUUACAUUUUCUCAAACAGGGUAAGGAAAUUGGUUCCUCGAAUAACUUCUGGCACAGACAUCUGAGGGCAUGGCCGUCCAAGAAGAAAAUGUAGCCAUUGGUGCCAUCUAUCGACCACAGGUUAAAGAUUGGCGAUCCGUUGGAUACCGACCGAGUUAUAGGCAAAACUUGGUGCAAAAAUGAGGAAAAUUUUACAUUUUCUCAAACAGGGUAAGGAAAUUGGUUCCUCGAAUAACUUCUGGCACAGACAUCUGAGGGCAUGGCCGUCCAAGAAGAAAAUGUAGCCAUUGGUGCCAUCUAUCGACCACAAGUUAAAGAUUGGCGAUCCGUUGGAUACCGACCGAGUUAUAGGCAAAACUUGGUGCAAAAAUGAGGAAAAUUUUACAUUUUCUCAAACAGGGUAAGGAAAUUGGUUCCUCGAAUAACUUCUGGCACAGACAUCUGAGGGCAUGGCCGUCCAAGAAGAAAAUGUAGCCAUUGGUGCCAUCUAUCGACCACAGGUUAAAGAUUGGCGAUCCGUUGGAUACCGACCGAGUUGUAGGCAAAACUUGGUGCAAAAAUGAGGAAAAUUUUACAUUUUCUCAAACAGGGUAAGGAACUUGGUUCCUCAAAUAACUUCUGGCACAGACAUCUGAGGGCAAGGCCGUCCAAGAAGAAAAUGUAGCCAUUGGUGCCAUCUAUCGACCACAGGUUAAAGAUUGGCGAUCCGUUGGAUACCGACCGAGUUAUAGGCAAAAUUUGGUGCAAAAAUGAGUCUUAUGAAAUUUUCAAAUUUUUAUAUUUUUUUCAAUUUUUUCUGAUUUUUUACACUUUUUUAUAUUUUAAGCAUUAUUUGAGUGAAAAGAAAGUCAUU